GAUGAACGCUGGCGGCGUGCCUAAUACAUGCAAGUCGAGCGAACGGACGAGAAGCUUGCUUCUCUGAUGUUAGCGGCGGACGGGUGAGUAACACGUGGAUAACCUACCUAUAAGACUGGGAUAACUUCGGGAAACCGUAGCUAAUACCGGAUAAUAUUUUGAACCGCAUGGUUCAAAAGUGAAAGACGGUCUUGCUGUCACUUAUAGAUGGAUCCGCGCUGCAUUAGCUAGUUGGUAAGGUAACGGCUUACCAAGGCAACGAUGCAUAGCCGACCUGAGAGGGUGAUCGGCCACACUGGAACGGAGACACGGUCCAGACUCCUACGGGGGGCAGCAGUAGGGAAUCUUCCGCAAUGAGCGGAAGCCUGACGGAGCAACGCCGCGUGAGUGAUGAAGGUCUUCGGAUCGUAAAACUCUGUUAUUAGGGAAGAACAUAUGUGUAAGUAACUGUGCACAUCUUGACGGUACCUAAUCAGAAAGCCACGGCUAACUACGUG
rnacentral:rRNA from 1 species